rnacentral:rRNA from 1 species
UAAGACAGAGGGGGCAAGCGUUGCUCGGAAUCACUGGGCGUAAAGGGCGCGUAGGCGGGAUGGCAAGUCAGUCGUGAAAUCUCUCGGCUCAACCGAGAAACGUCGGCUGAUACUGCCGUUCUUGAGGGAUGCAGAGGAGACUGGAAUUCCCGGUGUAGCGGUGAAAUGUGUAGAGAUCGG